AUGAAGAUUGAACAAGAAAUUAUUAAUCUUCUUAGUCUAGAACACUCCCGAAGAGGACUAUACCUAUUCUAUGAGAAGUGGGUGAGCAGUGACGACAAGGUGGAACAGAGUCCCCCAUCUCUGGUUGUCCCUGAGGGAGAGAGUGCAGCUCUCAACUGCAGCUAUGAAGUGACCAACUUUCGAAGCCUGCAGUGGUACAAGCAGGAAGAAAACGCUCCCACUCUUCUGUUUAUACUAGUUUCAAGUGGGAUAGAGAAGAAGUUGGGAAGAUUAAGUGGCACCUUAAAUAAGAAACAUAGCACCCUGCACAUCACAGCCACCCAGCCUGGAGACAAAGCCACCUACCUCUGUGCUGUGGAGGCACAGUGCUCCCUAGGCACCUGCAGCCUAUACUCAAAUGCUGCAGCUGAGGCUCUGCAACUGUAA